GGUGAGUAAUGUCUGGGAAACUGCCUGAUGGAGGGGGAUAACUACUGGAAACGGUAGCUAAUACCGCAUAACGUCGCAAGACCAAAGAGGGGGACCUUCGGGCCUCUUGCCAUCGGAUGUGCCCAGAUGGGAUUAGCUAGUAGGUGGGGUAACGGCUCACCUAGGCGACGAUCCCUAGCUGGUCUGAGAGGAUGACCAGCCACACUGGAACUGAGACACGGUCCAGACUCCUACGGGAGGCAGCAGUGGGGAAUAUUGCACAAUGGGCGCAAGCCUGAUGCAGCCAUGCCGCGUGUAUGAAGAAGGCCUUCGGGUUGUAAAGUACUUUCAGCGGGGAGGAAGGGAGUAAAGUUAAUACCUUUGCUCAUUGACGUUACCCGCAGAAGAAGCACCGGCUAACUCCGUGCCAGCAGCCGCGGU
rnacentral:rRNA from 1 species